rnacentral:misc_RNA from 1 species
AGGGCCACUGCGGCAUUCCAAAGCGGCACUGCAGGAGGGGUUAGGCCACGCCGCGCUGCUUCCCGUGCUUUAUUUUUUUCGUUUUUUCGUUGCGCGGAAAGCAAGAGGAAGAAGCAGAAGAAGGCGCGACCGGCCACCCCCUCCUCGAAAAAAAAAACAUAGAGAGCGGCGGCGUCACAACUGCAUAGUCGGGACCGGCGGACACCGGCGGCGAACACCAGCUCGCUCUCGGCGGUCGACACCACUGCCGCAUGGACAAGGCUAGCGCCGCGGAAGUGUCCCAGCCGAGUGCCGCCCAGACAGCAGCGAGAAGCGACGAUACAGCGUCCGCCGACGCCAGUGCCAAGCCUUCGACGACUGCGGACGACCAAGCACAGAGACAUCAUGACCUCCUCCCGAAGACAGUGGACCCUGCUGCGGCGCGCGGCGCCGCAAACGGACAUUCAGCGACUCAGGAACCGGCGAAGCCUCGUGAAGGCGGCGUCGCGCCAGCAAGGGAGGCCGGCGUCGAAUCUGAGCGGACUGCGCCGGUGCCCUCAGUGAGCGACGCCGGAGGUGGCGAAAAGCCUGUGCCUCCCGCGAAGAGUCAACCCCCUCCAUCGGACGAGAAGCAGCCGUCCGGCGCCGCCCCGAGCACAUAUCCCGAGCCAGAGAGAAUCUCCACCGAAGUGCCAGAAAAGAAGCCUGUGAUGGAGGACAAGACAGAACGAACGGGACCAGAAAAGGAAUCACGUGAGGUGCCUCCGUCGGCCCCGGCGGCCGAUCGAGACGGUGCAGUGCCUUCGCAAGAGAAACAGCAGCAACAGCGGCCCGAGAGUGAUAGCAGCGUGGCCAAGCAACCUGCCAAAGAAGUGGAAGCAGCGAAAGAAGGUGGCGCGAAGGGCGCGUCCACGCAAACCGACCAAGAGCCCCAAGGAAUGGCGGAAGAGAAGCCCGGUGCCAAAACUGCCGACGCAGUCGCUUCCCCGACAGCAGGUGCAACUCGGGAAGAAAAGCGGCCGGAGGAAGCUAGUAGCGAAGUUUCGGAAGCGGCUCCCAGCGAAUCGACAAAAGUAACCUCGAGCGCUGCUGAGGCUGGCGAAGGCAAAGCGGAGAAUGGGAAGCCAUCUAACGGGGCAGUGUUGCCCCAGGAGACGUGUAAAUCUGUCGCGGACGCCGGCACUAAAGUUCCGCAGGAACACGCGAGUCCCGGCGGGGACGGCGCGAGUUUACAGCCCUCCGCGAAUGGCGCUGGAGAUGCUAAACAGCCCACACCUGACGACACGAGGCCAAAAUCUUCCAUUCCGCCACCGCCAGUGUACGAGGUGCCAUCGCGGACUAGCUCGGGAAAGGGUGAACCGAAACAAGCCGAGGAAGACAAGCAAAAGACGCAAAUGGCCGAACAACCGGCGGAAACGAUAAAAGGAAACGGACCCGUGGAGGCAGCGAGGCUGCAAGAAGUGACCGAAUCAAUUAUGCCAGCUACGGCGUGCCACACUGGCACGACUGACACGGUGCGCCCCGACGCGAUACGAAAGGAGUCCGCACCCAAGGAAGCGUAUUCCAGCAGCGCCGCGCUAGACGACGUAUUAGACGAGGAAGCAAUCAGGGCGCAGUUGUACCCCGCCGAGGUGGAGGGCUUGGCUCCACCGAAAAGGGCAGAAGUGAAAGAACCGGAAGCCAGUGAACCGCAGUCUGUCGCUAAAGAGACCGAGAAGAGCGCCGCGAGCGGCCUUCCGAGCUCCAGUGAAACAAAACUCGAACCGGGUGCCAAAACGCCGCAGCCGGACGUCGAGCGCGAAGAAGCCCAUGACGAAUCGCGGGAUGUUCUCGACGCCGAUGUGAAAGCAGGCGAGCGGGCAGAACCACCAGGGGCGCAAGUUCCCGAGAAAGACACGGCUAUACCUAGCGAAGAGGUCACCAAAGAAGAGAAGCCAGAGAAAGUAGCGAAAGAAGCACCUCCCUCCGCUCCUACUACGAAACAAGCAGAAGCACCCGAAAAAGUAGAGAAACCAGCUGACAAAGUCGAAAAGGCCGAUGAGCUCGAGAAGCAAGUGGACACGACGCCAAGUGUAAAGACUGAAGGUCCUCCACAAGAAAGCAAGGUCGCCGAAACGGCUCCACGAGAGGAUAGUGCAGAACGAGAGGACGAGAAGGCGAAAGCUGCCGCCAGUCCCAACAAGCAAGACGAAAAGACUGAAGAAAAGGUCGAGCGUGUCGCCAAGGAAGAUGACGCCAAAGAGGUUGCCCCUCACGACGCGACGCAGGAACCCAGCGAGCCUUCACCGGCUAAGGAAGAAACCACGCAAGUUCGCGACGUCACCGCAGAGAGUGACAAGCCGUCAAAGGAAGCGGAGCGCACCCACGAAGUCGACUCAGCAAAAGAUACGUCCAAAGCCGCGGCUUCUCCUGAGCCGGGUGUCGGUGAGAAAGAACCGUCACAGACAACCGAGGAAACCUUGCCGAAAGAAAAAGAAGUGGGUCAGAACGUGCCAAAGGAGGCAGAGGGGGGACCAGAGGAACUCGACGUUCAAGAGCUCCCUCCUCAGGAGCCAGGAAAGCCAGACAAAAUUAAAACAAACGAAGAAACUGCGGCGCCGAAACUUUCGGACGCUGUUGCAGAGCCAGAGAACAAAGAAAUAAUAAGUAAAUCUGAAGAAGAGCCGUCGAAGGCGCCACCCGGGGACUCUGAAGUGUCCGGCGCUCCAGAACCGGCUACUCAAGAAGAAGCCCCCACCGCAGUUGAGCCCCAGGAAAGCGUUCCAGAAGUAACCAAAGACAAAGCGGAAGCGUCCGAGGAAGAAGUCGUAAAGACAGAUGAAGUCCCCGUUACCACAGCAGUCAAAGAAGAAGCAGCCCAGCCGGAGCCUACAGAUGAAGCCACACCAGAAAAGGUAGAAGACGAAGCACCUGAGUCUGGCGACAAGGCAAGUGAAGAAGCAACAACAAUGGUUGAAGCUGCUCAAAAAGAAGCUGAGGAGCCUGGCACUGACAUGCCAGUGGGUGCGGACGAGACGGCGGAACAGGCAUCUGAAGACCAAGGUGGUGAAGAAGCAGCCACUGCCGCCGAAGCUGAGCCAGAGGCUGGAGACGAAAGCAAGAGAGCUUCCGAGGCUGCCGAAGAAAGUGAAAAGCCGAUGGCCGAAACAGUGUCCGAGGAAAAGACCGAAGAGGCCACCGACGGGGCAGCUCCUUCCGAACUUGAACCGACGCCACCUGCGGAAGCAGUGAAAAAGAAAACCGGCUUGCCAAAGUCGCCGUCCAAGCGCGCGACGGGCAAAGGUCCGCCCAGGACUCUUGACAAAAAAAGAGACUUCCGCAGCAGCAGACGCAAAGGCAAAGACGCCCAGCUCUCCCAAGAAGCCCAGCAGCAUUCACGAAAAAGGCGGACCGUCGCCUAAGAAGACUGCGCCCACCAAGAAUGGCGUCACCUCCCCGUCGAAGACGGCGAGGACACCUGGCUCCGAGCAGAAAAAACUACCUCCGAUCAAGGCUCCUGUGGGCCAGGCACCCAAGCCCGACCUGAAGAACGUGCGCUCCAAGAUCGGCUCUCUGGACAACAUCAAGCACAAGCCUAAGGGCGGAGAAGUCAAG